rnacentral:rRNA from 1 species
UACGUACUGUGCGAACGUUAUUCGGAAUCACUGGGCUUAAAGGGUGCGUAGGCGGCGAACUAAGUAGGGUGUGAAAUCCCAUGGCUCAACCAUGGAACUGCGCUCUAAACUGGUUUGCUUGAGUGAGAUAGGGGUAUGCGGAACUUCAAGUGGAGCGGUGAAAUGUGUAGAUAUUUGAAGGAACACCGGUGGCGAAAGCGGCAUACUAGGUCUUAACUGACGCUGAGGCACGAAAGCUAGGGUAGCGAAC